rnacentral:rRNA from 1 species
UACGUAGGGGGCAAGCGUUGUCCGGAAUUAUUGGGCGUAAAGGGCGUGUAGGCGGCUUCGUAAGUCUUGUGUGAAAGCCCUCGGCUCAACCGAGGAAUUGCACGAGAAACUGCGUGGCUCGAGUCCGGGAGAGGAUAGUGGAAUUCCCAGUGUAGCGGUGAAAUGCGUAGAUAUUGGGAGGAACACCGGUGGCGAAGGCGGCUAUCUGGACCGGUACUGACGCUGAUACGCGAAAGCCAGGGGAGCAAACGGG